UCCACACUCUCCGCCUUUUCUGUUCCAUCCUCUCCCUGUUUUCGGUCUGGAUCCCACUAUUUUCGGCAUGUGGGUCCUUCCUGUCCGCCUUUUCGGUUCCAUCCUCUCCGCCUUUUUCGGCCUCUGGCACCCUCCCCAUUUUUUUUUUUACGCUCUUCAUCUCUCUCUUUCCCCCUUCUCGCCCUCUAUGUGGCUUCGUACAUCCCCGCUGGCACUGUACUUCCUCCUUACCUCUCCUCUCCGCGUUUUCGGCCUGUGGGUCCCUUGCGCAACGGCUUCUCCCUCUUCCUUUCUCGCGAACCCUAUGUUCGCCUAGCGUUCCCCUCUCCGCAAAUGCGCCGCUUCCCUGGAAAUCCCUCUCUCUCUCGACCGUACGCCUGUAUCUACUCAAAUCGAGACAUUUAAUGGCGUCGCGCAACCGCCGCUCCCUGUAUCUCCCGAAAAUCGUCGGUGCAUUAAAUGCCCCCCAUCAACCCGUCGCUUCGCCGGAGAUGGUUUCCUCCCUUCGCCGUACAU
rnacentral:lncRNA from 1 species